rnacentral:rRNA from 1 species
CGUGCUUACACAUGCAAGUCGAACGAUGAUCUCCAGCUUGCUGGGGGGAUUAGUGGCGAACGGGUGAGUAACACGUGAGUAACCUGCCCUUGACUCUGGGAUAAGCCUGGGAAACUGGGUCUAAUACCGGAUACGACCGUCCCGCGCAUGCGGUGGUGGUGGAAAGCUUUUGCGGUUUUGGAUGGACUCGCGGCCUAUCAGCUUGUUGGUGGGGUAAUGGCCUACCAAGGCGACGACGGGUAGCCGGCCUGAGAGGGUGACCGGCCACACUGGGACUGAGACACGGCCCAGACUCCUACGGGAGGCAGCAGUGGGGAAUAUUGCACAAUGGGCGAAAGCCUGAUGCAGCGACGCCGCGUGAGGGAUGACGGCCUUCGGGUUGUAAACCUCUUUCAGUAGGGAAGAAGCGAAAGUGACGGUACCUGCAGAAGAAGCGCCGGCUAACUACGUGCCAGCAGCCGCGGUAAUACGUAGGGCGCAAGCGUUAUCCGGAAUUAUUGGGCGUAAAGAGCUCGUAGGCGGUUUGUCGCGUCUGCUGUGAAAGACCGGGGCUCAACUCCGGUUCUGCAGUGGGUACGGGCAGACUAGAGUGAUGUAGGGGAGACUGGAAUUCCUGGUGUAGCGGUGAAAUGCGCAGAUAUCAGGAGGAACACCGAUGGCGAAGGCAGGUCUCUGGGCAUUAACUGACGCUGAGGAGCGAAAGCAUGGGGAGCGAACAGGAUUAGAUACCCUGGUAGUCCAUGCCGUAAACGUUGGGCACUAGGUGUGGGGGACAUUCCACGUUUUCCGCGCCGUAGCUAACGCAUUAAGUGCCCCGCCUGGAG